CCUACGGGAGGCAGCAGUGGGGAAUUUUGGACAAUGGGCGCAAGCCUGAUCCAGCUAUUCCGCGUGUGGGAUGACGGCCUUCGGGUUGUAAACCACUUUUGUAGAGAACGAAAAGUCUGUUGAUAAUACCGAUAGAUGAUGACGGUACUCUAAGAAUCAGCACCGGCUAACUAAGUGCCAGCAGCCGCGGUAAUACGUAGGGUGCGAGCGUUAAUCGGAAUUACUGGGCGUAAAGGGUGUGCAGGCGGGUUUGCAAGAUGGAAGGGAAAGCCCCGGGCUUAACCUGGGAAAGCCAUACAUGACUGCAAGACUAGAGUGCGUCAGAGGGGGGUGGAAUUCCAAGUGUAGCAGUGAAAUGCGUAGAUAUUUGGAAGAACACCGAUGGCGAAGGCAGCCCCCUGGGACGCAACUGACGCUCAUCCACGAAAGCGUGGGGAGCAAACAGGAUUAGAUACCCCUGUAGUC
rnacentral:rRNA from 1 species